UCUGGUGGCUAUAGCAAGGAGGUCACACCUGUUCCCAUGCCGAACACAGAAGUUAAGCUCCUUAGCGUCGAUGGUAGUCGAACUUACGCUCCGCUAGAGUAGAACGUUGCCAGGC
rnacentral:rRNA from 1 species